GAUGAACGCUAGCUACAGGCUUAACACAUGCAAGUCGAGGGGCAGCAUGAACUUAGCUUGCUAAGUUUGAUGGCGACCGGCGCACGGGUGAGUAACACGUAUCCAACCUUCCGUUUACUCAGGGAUAGCCUUUCGAAAGAAAGAUUAAUACCUGAUAGUAUGGUGAGAUUGCAUGAUAGCACCAUUAAAGAUUUAUUGGUAAACGAUGGGGAUGCGUUCCAUUAGGUAGUAGGCGGGGUAACGGCCCACCUAGCCGACGAUGGAUAGGGGUUCUGAGAGGAAGGUCCCCCCACAUUGGAACUGAGACACGGUCCAAACUCCUACGGGAGGCAGCAGUGAGGAAUAUUGGUCAAUGGGCGAGAGCCUGAACCAGCCAAGUAGCGUGAAGGAUGAAGGUCCUACGGAUUGUAAAACUUCUUUUAUACGGGAAUAAAGUAUCCUACGUGUAGGAUUUUGUAUGUACCGUAUGAAUAAGCAUCGGCUAACUCCGUGCCAGCAGCCGCGGU
rnacentral:rRNA from 1 species